rnacentral:tRNA from 1 species
GCCGAGGUGGUGGAAUUGGUAGACACGCUAUCUUGAGGGGGUAGUGGCCUUUUGGUCGUGCGGGUUCAAGUCCCGCUCUCGGCACCA